AAUCUAAUCUAAAUUAUUUUGUAUAGUAAUAUUAUGUUCAAUUGUGUUUUGGGUUUACAGAUUUACCAAACACAUGUGAAUCCUACACCUGUCAUACAUGCAUCAUUCUUCUUCCUCCUCCUCCACCACCUUUUCCACCACUGACAAUGAAAACCAUAUAUAUGAAACCUACAAAUAUGCAACUUUAUCAAGAUUUCAUGCCUGACUGUUCCACUGUAAAGAUGGUAGAUGAGGAUGUCAUAGGACCAAAGGGUGAAAAGGGCCGCAGAGGAGAACAAGGGGAAAAAGGUCUCCCUGGCCCAAUUGGACCAGAAGGGAUUCCAGGGCUCCAUGGUGUCAUGGGUCCUUCUGGAGACCAGGUUUUCAUAA